CAUAUGGUCAGAUACAAGAAUGAUAGUUAAUUUAUUAAAUACCCAAUCUGAAAAUUUUCAGCAGUGGCAUCAUUGGCAGAUGUUAUAAAAAAUGCGAGUUUUGACAGCUCUCUCUCGAAUCAAAGAGUUUCGUACCAUGUUAUCUAUGAUCUAUGCACGUCAAAUAAACCUAGGGUUAUCCAUGAUGAUGCACGUGGUGCAAGUAGUUAAGAAUUGUGGCACCCAGAAGCAAUGGAAAUUUUAAAGACUUUAUGGAGCUUUACCAAUGUUCCGGCUCCACAAUAUUCUAUCAAUUUAGGUGUUGGAGUUUAAAUUUCUAUGUAUAAUAUGUCUAAAGAACCUGCACCGUAUCGUUGUGACGUAUGAAGCGUUAAUGUAUCUAAUUAUGAAAAUUUUUUACAAGAACGUCUGAAUAUUACUGUGAAAAUAAGUAUUGCAGACAAAAUGAUUAAUGUCAUUGGUAUAUAGCAUGAUUAACCAAUCGCCAAGAUCUAACAAGGUUUGCUGAUUACCAUACCCGCAUACGAUGCAGUGUACGCCAUAGACUCGAUAAAAUAGUCCAGGCGUCAUAGUCUGAUGGCAAGUUGAGAUGUGCACGGAGUAGUUACAAAAAGUGGAAAAACCUUCAACAUAUACAUAUUAUAAAGCUUUAUUUGUACUUUGAAGGAUGAAAUCGCAGAAAAAUACAUUAAAAGAAUAUGUUCGGCAACUAAGGAACUUUGCAGCUCAUUAGCCUUAUGCGAGAGGAAGGUAUAUUUAAUGUUUAUUCGAUCAUAAGAAAUAUCUCUGUAAUUAAUGUAUGCUUUCAACAUUGUUUACUAGCAAUGAAUAGACCUGAUAAAACCGUUGAGCGUUGAAUAAAAAAAAAUACACAAAUAUUCCACUAGA
rnacentral:misc_RNA from 1 species